rnacentral:rRNA from 1 species
UACGGAGGGGGCAAGCGUUAUUCGGAAUUAUUGGGCGUAAAGGGCUCGUAGGCGGCCAACUAAGUCAGACGUGAAAUCCCUCGGCUUAACCGGGGAACUGCAUCUGAUACUGGAUGGCUUGAGUUCGGGAGAGGGAUGCGGAAUUCCAGGUGUAGCGGUGAAAUGCGUAGAUAUCUGGAGGAACACCGAUGGCGAAGGCAAUCCCCUGGGCCUGUACUGACGCUCAUGCACGAAAGCGUGGGGAGCAAACAGG